GAGGCCCAACUAAUAAACUUCAGCACUAAAUCGUAAGAGAAUCUCCAUACAAAGUAAUAAAUCUUCUACGUACAGUUUGUGAUAUAAAACAGAUAUCAAUUGGUUUAGAUUUAACCAGAAGAAUCAAAGAAGAUGAAGAAUGAAAAAAACAAGAAUCAACUUUAGGAGAGUGAGUAGAUAUCGGAGAUGGCUUUGAGAAACCUAAUCCUCAACUCCAAAUGCAUAAUAUAAUCAGCAGUCUUUGAUAGAAGCAGAUCCGGUUGGUUCAAUCUUCGUCCACCCGGUAUAAGCACUCGAAGCUUCCUCAUCUUUAUAUGGAUCGACCUGGAUCCUGACCCACGACCCGUUUUCUUCUUUGUCUGCUUCCUCUCCUUUCUGUAGGAUCGUGACUCUUCCAUUGCCUUUUUGCUUAUGAAAACUGAGUUGUAUGAAUGUGAUGCAAAGGCGUGAUGGUGGUCCAUAUUUAUAUAGUUCCACGUCUUCUUAUCUAUAUAUUUUUGGGUUUUAUUUUUCAUUUUUUUCGUGCUUCUUUUCUUUUUAUUUUAAACUACACAAAAUAAGAGUUUUUUUUUUUAGUAUAUUUUGUUGUUGUUGUC